AGGAAUCACACCUGACGUGCUAACUGAUUCGAAGUCGCACAUUAGCUAAUGACAUUCUAAAUACAAUUGACCAGGGACCGGACAGUGUUUUGCUCUAACAACGGAACCGAGACGAAGCCCUUCUCUUUGAAUCUUUAGUUAUUGCUGCUUUGGGUCCUGCUGAGGUUGACAUAGUAAAAAUGUUGUAUACAAAACUUUCUGACUCAUAGGGAUGUGUUGGUGUACUACUAGUUAAUACAGGUUUGUCAAAUGAACUAGAAUAAAAAUUGAAAAUAAUUUUGAACUUUGAUAGUUCAAUUUAUUUAGGAGAUGGGCCCUUGUAAUAUACGUUGUCUUACCAAUACCUAGUCUUGGUUACAAGUUGUGUUUCUGUUGGGAAGAUUGGGGAAUCUGAAGUUUUUCACAUCAAUCAAACAAUUUUUAUACUUUUGAAGGGGCCACAGACAGUAGAAGAAGAAAGAGUGACUGAGCUUUCGGAAGCUGUUUAACUCUGGAACAUUCUAUUUCCUCUAGUCAUCUGGUGAAGACCCAAUUGAUGCUACAUUAUGCACCCAAAAGCUUCAGCAAAAUCGUGGAACAGACAACAGAUCUACCUAUUUUUCUGGAAUAGGCUUUUGUACUUACCAUUGCAACACUAUGGAAUUGAUUUUUCUCACUGGCUGUUACGAGUUACAUGUGGCAGUGUUGAAAUCCGUACGUUGAAACCAGGAGUUCAAGUAGGGUCGCACAAAGUGAGAUUCUCACGCGGCCCCGAGGCCUCUUCACCAGCUCUAGAACGCCAUUUGAAGCUCAUGCAAGAGCGUUAUCAUGACACAGCUACCGUGAAUCUACUCGGUCUCUACAUGGUCGGUGCAAAAGAAGGGGAAGCUUCACUUAGUCAACCCUUCCAAGCUGACCAGA